rnacentral:rRNA from 1 species
AUACGGAGGGUGCAAGCGUUAAUCGGAAUUACUGGGCGUAAAGCGCGCGUAGGCGGCUUGGUAAGUCGGAUGUGAAAUCCCCGGGCUUAACCUGGGAAUUGCAUUCGAUACUGUCAGGCUAGAGUGUGGUAGAGGGAAGUGGAAUUUCCGGUGUAGCGGUGAAAUGCGUAGAUAUCGGAAGGAACACCAGUGGCGAAGGCGGCUUCCUGGACCAACACUGACGCUGAGGCGCGAAAGCGUGGGGAGCAAACAGGAGUAGAAGCCCGUGUAGUCC